CUCAAUGAAAUUUAAUAGCCGCAAUAUUUGUGCUAAGGUAGCAUAAUCAUUUGUUUUUUAAUUAAAAACUAGAACGAAAGAUUUAACAUUUUUAUUUCUAUCUAAUAUAUAAUCAUUAAACUUAUUCUAAACAUUAAAAAACAUUUAUUUAUUAAGAAGACGACAAGACCCUAUUGAACUUAACUAAAGUUAAACUGGGGAAGUUAAUUAAAUACAAUUUUAAUUUAAAUAUUAAAAAUAACCUAAUACAAUUAAAAAAUCAAGUUACCAUAGGGAUAACAGCACAAUAAUUUUCCAAAGAUCUUAUUUAAAAAAUUGUUUAUGACCUCGAUGUUGAAUUAAUAAUCUAUUAAAUGCAAUAACUUAAUAAGAAAGUCUGUUCGACUU
rnacentral:rRNA from 1 species